AUGAACGCUGGCGGCGUGCUUUACACAUGCAAGUCGAGCGAGGCGUCCCGCAAGGGACAGUCGAGCGGCGAACGGGUGAGUAACGCGUGGAUGACCUGCCCUGAGGUGGGAAUAACCCGGGAACUCGGGCUAUACCGCAUAUGACCGUGAGGUCAAAGAGGGGUCGGCAAGAUCUCUUGCCACAGGAGGGGUCCGCGUUCGAUUAGCUAGUUGGUAGGGUAAUGGCCUACCAAGGCGACGAUCGAUAGCCGGCCUGAGAGGGUGAUCGGCCACACUGGAACUGAGACACGGUCCAGGACUCCUACGGGAGGCGAGCAGGUGGGGAAUUUUGCGCAAUGGGCUAACGCCUGACGCAGCAACGCCGCGUGGAGGAUGAAGGUCUUUGGAUUUGUAAACUCCUGUCAGG
rnacentral:rRNA from 1 species